rnacentral:tRNA from 1 species
UCCUCUGUAGCUCAGCUGGCAGAGCAAUCGGCUGUUAACCGAUAGGUCCUUGGUUCGAAUCCAAGUGGGGGAG